rnacentral:lncRNA from 1 species
AGCUGUUCACGAACAGAAAAAGCCAAGGCAGGCAAAAGGAAGCUAAAAGCAGACUCAGAAUCACUGUCGAGGCUGAGAAAAUGAAGUUCAGAAACAGCUGGUCAGCAGGCUCAGAACAAACACAUCAGACAAAAAGGCGCCCCAAAUACGAAUCUAUUCUCCCUGCGGGGACUUAAAAUUGUCACCCGUUCAGAUUUAAAAUCAGUUUCAAAAGCCAGUACCAGAAACGUAAUUUUCCUGUCCCCGUGAAAUUGUGAGAAGCCACCAAGCAGCUGGCUGGUUCCCCACAACUAGCAUUGCAGACAGAGGCCUCCCGACCCGCUUUCUGCAUAAAUAUAGGCCUAGAGCUCCUGUUGGUUUAAAAUGAUAUCAACAAGGGCAGGGACCGAGCGCGUAUUCCUCCGCCGGCUGCCUGGCCAGUCUCGGGCUGGCUAGCCUUUCGCUAAGGCCUCUCCGCACUCAGCGUCUGCGAAAGGGUACACCAGACACUUGGUGCGAUAAGACCGGCAGGCAGGCUGCAGGCAGCGGAUAGGACACAGAGACAGACAGACAGACACACGCGCGGGGGAUCGAAGACCGCCCAGAUACCCAAGAUGCCCACUGGAUAGAGUGAUUAACCAUCCCUGUUAAUGUGGAACAGAGAGGUUUCCUGGGAUACUGGACUUUCAGUGGUAAAAGUUGGAAAGUCUAAGCUGGCUGGCAAAAUGUAAUAAUGUGAAAGAAGAAAACUCUAGGAAGAAACUUCAACAGUAAAAUGAAAUAAAAUACUAAGAGGAUUUUCAGGAAACGCUGUUUGGAAGGCAGAAGGGAGACGGGACAAAUAGCAAGAUUUUAAAGUGAAGAGGCCGGCCCAAUAUAGGCCCUCGGGAGCUGGAAAGGAAGGCCACCUAGUGGCGUUUGAGCGAAGGACACAGCUUAUCUGCAGUUAAUAAC